UUAUCUUAUUCAAAAUACAUAAAAUUUUAAUUGGCUAUUAAUACUAUUAAAUAGUGUAAUUGAAUAGUAUAAUAUUGAUUAAUAAGACAAUAAUUGCUUAUUAAUACUUAUCUAUAAUUUUAUGUGUUGGGGUUAUAUUAAGAAUAUACAUACGCUAUUAUACUUCUGUAUGAAUGUGUAACAUUAUCUCUACUGUAAUUAUAUAAAAAUACAACAUAUGAUCUAUUCUUCUGCAAUUAUGUUGUUAUUAUCAUUAUUCUUAUUUGCAUUUUUUAGUAAAAAUUUCCGUGAAAAUUCAGUAUAAAAUUAUUUAAAAGUUUAUAUGGAUGUACAAAAAAUUUGGACUACAAAAAUACGUAAUAUAUUUUCUAUUCAUAUAAUUUAUUAGUGCAUUUAUUAAUAAAGUACACUAUAUAUUGCUAUUAUAUGUGACUAUUUCUAGUUAUUAAGGGAAUUAUAAAUGAUAGAUUACAUAUAAAUUACUAUAAAUAUAAUUAUAUAAUACAAUUAAAGAUUAUUUUACAAUAUGAUAUGACAAAGAGUUGCAUAAUAUUAUAUGAAUUACGUUAUGUUUUUGUAUUAUAAGGUAGUAUAACUUUUUGUAAUUUAUGGAUAUUAUAUUUAAUAACAUUUAUAUAUUUUUAUAUUUUGUGUUACAAUAUAAUAUCAAUUAUUAUAAUUGCUAUGUUGAUUAUGUAUAAUGAUAGAUUCUAUUGCAAUAUAGUAUAAUACAAUGGUAUAUUAAUUCUUUUCUGAUCUAUAAUAUAUUCUUUACCUUUCUAAUUUUGCUCCUUACUGCUUAUUUUAGCUUGAUUUUUACUGUUUUUUUCCCCAAACUGUUUCUAUGAAACAAGAAAUAAAAUUAUUUAAAAUCAUUAUCUGUAUAAUUUUAUAGAGAAAAUAUAAAUCAUCUGCUGUUGUAAGUAAUUAUAAAACUAACAUGUAAAUUUAUUUUCUACUAUGAUUAAUACUGAAAUAAAUUAAAUAGCCACAGCAUUCAUUAUUAUAUUACUUUAAGUAUUUUUAAGAUUUAUGGAUUUGGAUUAAAUAUUUGCUGAUACUUCUAUCAAAAUUAAGUACAAAACAAUAGAAAAAAUACUACUAUAUAUUUAAAUAUAAGUAUUGUGUAUCACAGUAUCACAAUUAGAGAUCUGUAUAAUAAUAACAUAGAAAACUAUAUAACUCAGCUAUAUUAUGCAUAACAAGUAUAAUAAUACCAUAACAGGUUAAAAUGUAAUUGAGAUUUUUUUUACUGAUAUGAGUCUUAUAUUAUUGAUAUUUUAUCAGUGUGCUAAUAAGUAGUAAUAUACUAAAGUAUAUUACAUAAUACUAUUAAUAUAUCAUCAACACAGGGUACAAUAAUAUAAGUAUCUAGUUAUAUUGUUGUAUUAAGGAAUAGUAUUUUAUAUAAUUAAUAUUAGUUAAUAAUACACCAUUAUUUCUAACAAUUAACACAUUGGUAUAUAUUUUAAUCACUUGUUAAUAGAAUGCAAAUGUUGUUUAUUAACAUAACAAACUGUAAAUAGAAUUUCUAUUAUGAUUAUAUAUAAAAGUAGACUUUAUAAAUUGGAUCCUCCAGUCAUAUCUUUAAUGUAAUUUUGGUACAAUUUCUACUGCAAAAUAGGAAAAUUCAUAUGUAAAUACAUACAGAAUUGAUAUAAAAAUAUCAAUAUAAAAACAUAAAAGCCCCAUUUAUAUAACCUCCUUGGUUAAUAUAAAAAUUAACUGAGGCCUCCUUUUUCCUCCAUUUUCCCAGCCCUCUCCAGUGCCAGCUACUGGGGCUGCGAGUUCCGGCUGUGUUCCCACAGAACCAUGACGGCUCCUCCAGUGCGUAGCUGCAGCUGCUGCUCACCUCCUGUGGCCCUGCUGACACUCAGGUGUCAGUGAUGCUCUACGAUGGCUCUGUCACCCAGAACAUCACCCUGAGGCCAAAUGUCACUGUGCCCUUGCCCCUCUCUGCUAACCUGGAACUCACUGGAAGCUGCACUUCCCAUAAAACCUUGGUGGUCCAGACGAGCACUGAUAUCUCAAUGAUGUCUGUCAGCACCAUGGGCUACACUGUGGGUGCCACUGCCCUCCUACCUGUGGAGAGCCUGGGCAACAGGUGAACAGCCACCGCUCACACCUCCCCAUCUCCUCCCAUGGGAAGCUCCACAUGCACCAGAAGGGUAAAUCCAUGCUGAUCCAGUCAAAUUUCAAGCUGAAAGUCCUCUACAAGUGGGAUGAUCAUGUAGUAAUCAAACUUCCAGCUGCUCUUUCUGGAAAAGUCUGCGGAAUGUGCAGGAACAACAGGGACCUCUGGGAUCAUGCACUCUGUCUUGAUGGUAAACAGCUCUCACUUGCCUGCCCAACAGCACCCACAGCCUGCCUCCCUACCUGCAACAUCCCCACUGUGUCAUCCCGCUGUUCCACUGUCAACACCUGCGUGGACACCUGUGUGGCCUUGAUGCCAACACCUGCGCUGCCCCCUCUGAAUGUGGCUGUGUCCUUCAAGGUCUCUUCUAUGGCCUUGGCGAGGAAUUUUGGAGUGACCUCACUUGCACCCAGCACUCUGCGUGUGAUGCGGAGCGGCGGCAGGCAGUGUGCCAGGAUUCUGGUUGUACCACUAAGGAGGAAUGCGAGGUGGAGUAGGGGAUCUAGGAUUGUUAUCCCAAAAUUUCUGCGGUCUGCACCACUGUUGGAGCCACUCACUAUGAGACCUUUAAUCAAAGGAGGUGUAUCUUCCAGGGGAUGUGUGUCUUACCUGCUGGUUGGGUUGUGUGAGGACACCCAAAAUUUGGUGGGAUUCCAGGUGUUGGUGCAGAAUGGCCACCAAAGUGACAACCUCACAUUGUCCAUUGCCGUGGUGACAGUUAAAAGUCUACAACAAAACCAUCAGCAUCAGCAGGAACAUCGUGGAAAAAUCAUGACUAAUGAGAGUUGUUUGCGGCGGUUUGGCAGAAGCUGCUGAGGCCACCGCCUUCCCAAGAGUGUCUAAUCUAGGAAGGCAUAUCCCAGUGAGAACCAGAUGUGAGCACCACCCAGUUCACGUCACCAGAUGGUAUGUUGCAGCCACAUCACUGCCAAAUGUCUUUGCCAACCCCCUGUGUGGGCCUUGUGGGAACUACCUUGGUGCUGCCAGCAACAACAUGGUGAUGAGG